rnacentral:sRNA from 1 species
UAAUCCUUGUAAGUGGACGAUGGUCUGUA